rnacentral:misc_RNA from 1 species
GGCACCACCCUUCUUCCUCCGCACUCUCGUGGCCUUCCGACGACCGCCGCCCCAAUUUCAACCACCAGUUUGAUCCCUAUGUUCAAUACCCCAAUCACCAUCCCGGGCCCCCUUUUGGCCAUCCCAAUUAUCCCCCUCAGUACCCGCCACAUCCGCCACCUCCGCCUCCUCCGCCGCCGCCGCAGCACCAGCCUCCGUUCCAGCACCAGCACCCGCACACGCCCCAGCCCCAGCCUCAGCCCCCGCCACCUCACCAGCACCAGCAGCCGUACCAGCACCAGCAGAAUAACUGGAGCAAUCCGGAGUUCCAUAAUCAUCCCCCGGAUUACCGUCCCCAACCGCACUUUAACGGCGAGACGAGUGAGGGGUUCGGAAACGGCG